GAUGAACGCUGGCGGCGUGCCUAAUACAUGCAAGUCGAGCGAACAGACGAGGAGCUUGCUCCUCUGACGUUAGCGGCGGACGGGUGAGUAACACGUGGAUAACCUACCUAUAAGACUGGGAUAACUUCGGGAAACCGGAGCUAAUACCGGAUAAUAUAUUGAACCGCAUGGUUCAAUAGUGAAAGACGGUUUUGCUGUCACUUAUAGAUGGAUCCGCGCCGCAUUAGCUAGUUGGUAAGGUAACGGCUUACCAAGGCGACGAUGAGUAGCCGACCUGAGAGGGUGAUCGGCCAAACUGGAACAGAGACACGGUCCAGACUCCUACGGGAGGCAGAAGUAGGGAAUCUUCCGCAAUGGGCGAAAGCCUGACGGAGCAACGCCGCGUGAGUGAUGAAGGUCUUCGGAUCGUAAAACUCUGUUAUUAGGGAAGAACAAAUGUGUAAGUAACUAUGCACGUCUUGACGGUACCUAAUCAGAAAGCAACGGCUAACUACGUG
rnacentral:rRNA from 1 species